rnacentral:rRNA from 1 species
CCUACGGGAGGCAGCAGUGGGGAAUUUUGGACAAUGGGCGCAAGCCUGAUCCAGCCAUGCCGCGUGAGUGAAGAAGGCCUUCGGGUUGUAAAGCUCUUUCAGGAGGGAAGAAACGGUUGCAGCUAAUACCUGCGACUAAUGACGGUACCUUCAGAAGAAGCACCGGCUAACUACGUGCCAGCAGCCGCGGUC